rnacentral:rRNA from 1 species
CGGGACGGGUGAGUAACGCGUGAGGAACCUGCCUCAAAGAGGGGGACAACAGUUGGAAACGACUGCUAAUACCGCAUAAGCCCACGGCUCGGCAUCGAGCAGAGGGAAAAGGAGCAAUCCGCUUUGAGAUGGCCUCGCGUCCGAUUAGCUAGUUGGUGAGGUAACGGCCCACCAAGGCGACGAUCGGUAGCCGGACUGGGAGGUUGAACGGCCACAUUGGGACUGAGACACGGCCCAG